GAUGAACGCUGGCGGCGUGCCUAAUACAUGCAAGUCGAGCGAACAGACGAGGAGCUUGCUCCUCUGACGUUAGCGGCGGACGGGUGAGUAACACGUGGAUACCCUACCUAUCAGACUGGGAUCACUUCGGGAAACCGGAGCUAAUACCGGAUAAUAUCUUGAACCGCAUGGUUCAAUAGUGAGAGACGGUUUUGCUGUCACUUAUCGAUGGAUCCGCGCCGCAUUAGCUGGUUGGUAAGGUAACGGCUUACCAAGGGAACGAUGCGUAGCCGACCUGAGAGGGUGGUCGGCCACACUGGAACUGAGACACGGUCCAGACUCCUACGGGAGGCAGCAGUAGGGAAUCGUCCGCAAUGGGCGAAAGCCUGACGGAGUAACGCCGAGUGAGUGAUGAAGGUCUUCGGAGCGUAAAACUCUGUUAUUAGGGAAGAACAAAUGUGUAAGGAAAUAUGCACGUCGUGACGGUACCUAAUCAGAAAGCCACGGCUAACUACGUG
rnacentral:rRNA from 1 species